rnacentral:tRNA from 1 species
AAUGGAUUGGCAGACUAGUGUAUUAAAUUUAGGAUUUAAAAAUAUAAUUAAUAUUAUAUUCAUUA